rnacentral:rRNA from 1 species
AGACCCGAAACCCGGUGAUCUAGCCAUGGGCAGGUUGAAGGUUGGGUAACACUAACUGGAGGACCGAACCGACUAAUGUUGAAAAAUUAGCGGAUGACCUGUGGCUGGGGGUGAAAGGCCAAUCAAACCGGGAGAUAGCUGGUUCUCCCCGAAAGCUAUUUAGGUAGCGCCUCGUGAAUUCAUCUCCGGGGGUAGAGCACUGUUUCGGCUAGGGGGCCAUCCCGGCUUACCAACCCGAUGCAAACUGCGAAUACCGGAGAAUGUUAUCACGGGAGACACACGGCGGGUGCUAACGUCCGUCGUGAAGAGGGAAACAACCCAGACCGCCAGCUAAGGUCCCAAAGUCAUGGUUAAGUGGGAAACGAUGUGGGAAGGCCCAGACAGCCAGGAUGUUGGCUUAGAAGCAGCCAUCAUUUAAAGAAAGCGUAAUAGCUCACUGGUCGAGUCGGCCUGCGCGGAAGAUGUAACGGGGCUAAACCAUGCACCGAAGCUGCGGCAGCGAACGUAUCACUUAAAGCGAUUCAGCGGGUUACGAUUGACGGAGCGAAGCGACGUCAAAGCGUAUACAAAGUCGAGUCGGUUUAAGGAUACGUUCGUUGGGUAGGGGAGCGUUCUGUAAGCCUGUGAAGGUGGCCUGUGAGGGUUGCUGGAGGUAUCAGAAGUGCGAAUGCUGACAUAAGUAACGAUAAAGCGGGUGAAAAGCCCGCUCGCCGGAAGACCAAGGGUUCCUGUCCAACGUUAAUCGGGGCAGGGUGAGUCGACCCCUAAGGCGAGGCCGAAAGGCGUAGUCGAUGGGAAACGGGUUAAUAUUCCCGUACUUGGUGUUACUGCGAAGGGGGGACGGAGAAGGCUAUGUUGGCCGGGCGACGGUUGUCCCGGUUUAAGCGUGUAGGUGUGUGUUCCAGGUAAAUCCGGUUCACUUUAACACUGAGGCGUGACGACGAGGCACUACGGUGCUGAAGCAACAAAUGCCCUGCUUCCAGGAAAAGCCUCUAAGCAUCAGGUAACAUCAAAUCGUACCCCAAACCGACACAGGUGGUCAGGUAGAGAAUACCAAGGCGCUUGAGAGAACUCGGGUGAAGGAACUAGGCAAAAUGGUGCCGUAACUUCGGGAGAAGGCACGCUGACACGUAGGUGAAGUGAUUUACUCACGGAGCUGAAGUCAGUCGAAGAUACCAGCUGGCUGCAACUGUUUAUUAAAAACACAGCACUGUGCAAACACGAAAGUGGACGUAUACGGUGUGACGCCUGCCCGGUGCCGGAAGGUUAAUUGAUGGGGUCAGCGCAAGCGAAGCUCCUGAUCGAAGCCCCGGUAAACGGCGGCCGUAACUAUAACGGUCCUAAGGUAGCGAAAUUCCUUGUCGGGUAAGUUCCGACCUGCACGAAUGGCGUAAUGAUGGCCAGGCUGUCUCCACCCGAGACUCAGUGAAAUUGAACUCGCUGUGAAGAUGCAGUGUACCCGCGGCAAGACGGAAAGACCCCGUGAACCUUUACUAUAGCUUGACACUGAACAUUGAGCCUUGAUGUGUAGGAUAGGUGGGAGGCUUUGAAGUGUGGACGCCAGUCUGCAUGGAGCCGACCUUGAAAUACCACCCUUUAAUGUUUGAUGUUCUAACGUGGACCCGUAAUCCGGGUUGCGGACAGUGUCUGGUGGGUAGUUUGACUGGGGCGGUCUCCUCCUAAAGAGUAACGGAGGAGCACGAAGGUUGGCUAAUCCUGGUCGGACAUCAGGAGGUUAGUGCAAUGGCAUAAGCCAGCUUGACUGCGAGCGUGACGGCGCGAGCAGGUGCGAAAGCAGGUCAUAGUGAUCCGGUGGUUCUGAAUGGAAGGGCCAUCGCUCAACGGAUAAAAGGUACUCCGGGGAUAACAGGCUGAUACCGCCCAAGAGUUCAUAUCGACGGCGGUGUUUGGCACCUCGAUGUCGGCUCAUCACAUCCUGGGGCUGAAGUAGGUCCCAAGGGUAUGGCUGUUCGCCAUUUAAAGUGGUACGCGAGCUGGGUUUAGAACGUCGUGAGACAGUUCGGUCCCUAUCUGCCGUGGGCGCUGGAGAACUGAGGGGGGCUGCUCCUAGUACGAGAGGACCGGAGUGGACGCAUCACUGGUGUUCGGGUUGUCAUGCCAAUGGCACUGCCCGGUAGCUAAAUGCGGAAGAGAUAAGUGCUGAAAGCAUCUAAGCACGAAACUUGCCCCGAGAUGAGUUCUCCCUGAGACUUAGAGUCUCCUGAAGGAACGUUGAAGACGACGACGUUGAUAGGCCGGGUGUGUAAGCGCAGCGAUGCGUUGAGCUAACCGGUACUAAUGAACCGUGAGGCUUAACCUUACA